AAAUUAUCUGCCUUUUCUUUUUAUAAAGAUAAACUUCUGACUUCCACUUCCCUAAAGUAAGUGAUUAGAUAGGAGGCAGGCCAAUGCGCCUGCUUCAAAGACCAGACUAACCAACGUAAGAAAGCUGUGGAAGCAAUGAGGACUAAAAGAACAAAAAAUCCAGAGGUGGAAGAGCACUUCCAAGGCAGCUGAGACCACUGGCUUGUUCUUCCAUGGGGGUAACUGCAGAGCUUGG
rnacentral:lncRNA from 10 species